rnacentral:lncRNA from 1 species
UAAUGGAAAGCCAGCACUGUAUGGAUAAAAAGUUAAAAGGAAUAAAGACAAUGGUUGGUAUUCCAUUCUACUUACUAGUCCUUUCUUUUACCUUUUUACUUUAAAAAAAACAUAAAUUUAAUGAGAAAGAUACAUGUACUCUUUUUUUUUAAAGGAAUAAGUUAUGUUUUGCUGGUCAUCGAUAGCCUUAUUUACCUUAAAAACGACCCUUUUCCGAUGAAAAUAUUGAUUCACUGGUUUUUGACAUUACUAAACUAUGCUACUGGAGUACACAUUUAAUUUUUUAAAAGUUAGCAUAUUGUAGUGAUCAUGCUUUGUAUUUAGAAUUCAUGAAUAUAUGUUUUUUGUAUUGCACCUCUUCAAUGCAAGUAAACAUUUAGCAUAAGGUUUCAGUGGAACUGAUCCAAGUUAAUGCAAAGAGUGCUUCGUUCGCAUCAAAUUUAUAAAAUGUAUUAAUUUCUAUUUUGAAGUCGUUUGUACGGAACACACACAUUUUUGCAUUUUGUAAUGACGUUACGCAUUCCUUUAAUAUCAACUCAUUUAAGACAUGACAUAAUGUAAAAUGUGGAGAUUAUUCAAAAGUGUUAUCUAUUGCUUAACUCGAUAUUUUAAAACGAAAUACUUUAUAGAUUGACACCAUAUUCAAAUAUAUCUCUUAUAGGGACGAUUAUUCCGUUCUCAUUAUACAAUUAAUUUUAAAGAGAGGAAAACAAUACCAAAGGGACAUUCAAACUCAUACGUCCAUAAUAAACUGACGAAGCCAUAUCAUAACAAGAACAAGAAAAAUGAAUAAUAGAACACAAAACACAUCCUAGAAAUCUUAAUACUGGGCAUUAUGUUCAUCGUUUUGAUUGUAUUAAUACACAUUAAAACGUCUUUACCAUAACUGUAUGACCAUCUUUUAUUUUCACCGACAUAGAACGUAAGAAGGGUUUUACUUCCCGAUCGUAUAAACAUAUCUUUUAUAUUUCAAAAUACUAUAUCACAGCCUCAUGACCUAGUAGUUUUAUUUAUAGAACCUGUAUAGCAAACUGGUAGUUUCUGAAACUGAUUUUUUUUCUUUUUUAAGUGCACAAUACUUUAUCAAUGUAAGUUGACAUUGUAUCGCAACCUAUUGAAAGGCAUACAGUGUAUUCUUUUUAAAGAUAAUACAUUUGAGGGUAAAACACUUGCAUGUGACUUGUUCGUGAUUUUGCUAAAAUUGUAUAAAUCCCUAACGUAUUGAAGAUGUUGAUAAAUGCAAGUUCCUAUUAACACUUUGAUCACUCUGAUAGGUCAUUUUUUUCUUAAUGCCACAUGUUAAGACAGUCAGUUUCUUACAAAGUGUGUACGUGUCCUAAUAAGAUAUAUAGGUCACUAGCAAACUAUUUGACAAUUAUGUUGGAUGUAAUAUACUUGCACUUCAGUUAUCAAAAAUUGCCAACGCUCUGGAGAACUAUGAAGACCAAACGGAAGAUGAGGACGAUGAUGAUCCAUUUAAAUAUUCAUCGUCAGAUGAGGAUGAGUCUGACAGUCAAUCUGUGUCAUCAGAUGAUUAGAAGUAAGUAUAACUUUAUAAUAUUUUUUACGUAUUUAUUUCCGUUUUAAUUUUACAGCAAACAUAAGAAACUAUGCAUACAUUGGUAUCGAUACAACGAUAAAUAUACAUUUGCCUACGGUAACUUUUGAACAAUUACAUGCAAAUUGGAUUAAAAUCUCAAUAAUGAAUGCAAUACUAUGAUAACCAAAAUAAACCUAAUUCACUUAAUGACAUGCGACGUAUGUUUUCGAGCGAAUAAAUUUAUUUGACCGCAUUAUCUGUUUUUUUGCGUGAAAGACAAUAAAAGAGGAACAAAAGAUACCAGAGGGACAUUUUUACUCAUAGAUCUAACAUAAACUGAUAAUGCCACGCCUAUAAACAAUAGUACACAUGGCAAAACAUAUAAACACAAAUGACUUAGCAACACUUACCCCACCAAAAACUCGGGUAGAUUUCAGGUGAUCCGGAAGAGUAGGCAAUUCCUGAUACACAUGUGAAAGCCGUCGUAUUGAGCAUGUUAUUACAAACCUGUAAAUAUGGGAAGUUCUUUUUGUUGAAAAGUGAAAUUUAUUGACGGAUAUUCCCAACGGUCAACAAACAGAUGUUGGCGUCCGUAAAAUUUACGAAGGGAUGAUUUGAAUUCACAAUUUUGAACUCUUGAUUUAAUAAUUUCCUUGUGAAAAAGAUUAAUUGAUUAAUUGAAUAUUAAUAAUUAACUUUUUUACAUUCUGUGAUUGUUCUGCAAAGUUAAAUUGUAGAUAGAUUUCAGAUCCGAAAUCCUUGUGUGUAGGAUGUAUACAUUAUGUUCAAUUAGUUAAUCAAUACGCAAUACGAACAAAGCACUAAUCAUACAUCAAAACAAACUUGACAUGGCAAUUUAACAAUUUCAUAGACGAAAAGAGUCCAUAAAGGUUAAUAUAAGAACAUGUGCUGACUUAUGUUUCAUUAGACACAUAGUAAAUUAUCACAACCUUUUAUUUUGAAAUUUCAGGACCACAUCUUAACUGGUAAAGCAUGG